ensembl:snoRNA small nucleolar RNA, C/D box 54
UGGCAAUGAGGACAAAAAUUUUAACUGAACUAUUGUGAUUAAUUUAUACGCUAUUCUGAGCCAACA